rnacentral:rRNA from 1 species
CGAAGUCCGUGAGCCAUGCGUCAAGAAAAGCCGCUAUCGUUUAUACCGUACCCGUACCGUAAACCGACACAGGUGGAUGAGGAGAGAAUCCUAAGGCCGGCGGAAGAAGCAUUGUCAAGGAACUCGGCAAAAUGGCCCCGUAACUUAGGGAUAAGGGGUGCCUGGGAAACCAGGCCGCAGAGAAUAGGCUCAAGCAACUGUUUAGCAAAAACACAGGUCUAUGCGAAACCGAAAGGUGAGGUAUAUGGGCUGACGCCUGCCCGGUGCUGGAAGGUUAAGAGGAGAGGUUAGCGGUAACGCGAAGCUUUGAAUUUAAGCCCCAGUAAACGGCGGCCGUAACUAUAACGGUCCUAAGGUAGCGAAAUUCCUUGUCGGGUAAGUUCCGACCCGCACGAAAGGCGUAAUGAUUUGAGCGCUGUCUCGACAAUGCAUCCGGUGAAAUUGAAGUACCAGUGAAGAUGCUGGUUACCUGCGCCAGGACGGAAAGACCCCAUGGAGCUUUACUCCAGUCUGGUACUGGGACUCGGUAUUGCAUGUACAGGAUAGGUGGGAGGCUAGGAGAUGGUAACGCCAGUUGCCAUGGAGCCGCUGUUGGGAUACCACCCUUGCAGUAUUGGGUUUCUAACCAGCCGCCGUGACCCGGCGGUGGGACAAUGCCAGACGGGGAGUUUGACUGGGGCGGUCGCCUCCGAAAGGGUAUCGGAGGCGCCCAAAGGUUCCCUCAGAAUGGACGGAAACCAUUCGAAGAGUGCAAAGGCAGAAGGGAGCUUGACUGCGACACCGACGGGUGGAGCAGGUACGAAAGUAGGGCUUAGUGAUCCGGUGGUAUUAAGUGGGAAUGCCAUCGCUCAACGGAUAAAAGCUACCCUGGGGAUAACAGGCUUAUCACUCCCAAGAGUUCACAUCGACGGAGUGGUUUGGCACCUCGAUGUCGGCUCAUCGCAUCCUGGGGCUGUAGUAGGUCCCAAGGGUUGGGCUGUUCGCCCAUUAAAGCGGUACGCGAGCUGGGUUCAGAACGUCGUGAGACAGUUCGGUCCCUAUCCGGCGUGGGCGUAGGAUAUCUGAGAGGAGCUGUCCUUAGUACGAGAGGACCGGGAUGGACGGGCCGCUGGUGCAUCGGUUAGACUGCCAAGUCUACGGCCGAGUAGCCAAGCCCGGAAGGGAUAAACGCUGAAGGCAUCUAAGCGUGAAGCCCCCCUUAAGAUGAGAUAUCCCAUUCGAAAGAAGUAAACCCCCUUGAAGACGACGAGGUAGAUAGGGCAGAGGUGGAAGUGUGGCAACACAUGGAGCUGACUGUUACUAAUCGGGUGAGGGCUUGACCAA